AGGACGAACGCUGGCGGCGUGCCUAACACAUGCAAGUCGAACGGAGCUGCUAUGGAAGACCUUCGGGUCGGAAGUUUCAGCUUAGUGGCGAACGGGUGAGUAACGCGUGAGCAACCUGCCUUUCAGAGGGGGACAACGGUUGGAAACGACCGCUAAUACCGCAUGAAGCAAUUUGACCGCAUGAUCGAAUUGCCAAAGAUUUAUCGCUGAAAGAUGGGCUCGCGUCUGAUUAGAUAGUUGGUGGGGUAACGGCCUACCAAGUCAACGAUCAGUAGCCGGACUGAGAGGUUGAACGGCCACAUUGGGACUGAGAUACGGCCCAGACUCCUACGGGAGGCAGCAGUGGGGAAUUAAUUGGGCAAUGGGGGAAACCCUGACCCAGCAACGCCGCGUGAAGGAAGAAGGCUUUCGGGUUGUAAACUUCUUUUACCGAGGACGAAGAACGUGACGGUACUCGGAGAAAAAGCCACGGCUAACUACGUGCCAGCCGCCGC
rnacentral:rRNA from 1 species